UCAACUUGAGAGUUUGAUCCUGGCUCAGAACGAACGCUGGCGGCAGGCUUAACACAUGCAAGUCGAAC
rnacentral:rRNA from 2 species